rnacentral:rRNA from 1 species
UACGUAGGGAGCAAGCGUUGUCCGGAAUCAUUGGGCGUAAAGCGCGCGUAGGUGGCCUCAUAAGUCCGCUGUGAAAGUCAAAGGCUCAACCUUUGAAAGCCGGUGGAUACUGUGAGGCUAGAGUACGGAAGAGGCGAGUGGAAUUCCUGGUGUAGCGGUGGAAUGCGCAGAUAUCAGGAGGGACACCAAUAGCGAAGGCAGCUCGCUGGGACGUUACUGACACUGAGGCGCGAAAGCGUGGGGAGCGAACAGG